UGCUUUAAAGUCAAAAUAGAGACGUAAGUCUUGUAAACUUAAAAUUGAAGAAAAUUCUUCUAGGGCAA
rnacentral:tRNA from 1 species